UCCACCUCCAUGUAUGCAAAUUGUAAUUGAAUUCAGCUCCUUACAACAGCCUACAUAGGCCUUGGUGUGCUAUGUCUUAGCUAUAUUUGCUAGGCCUAAUCUCUGUCACUAUGUCUUCAUUCAUUGCUGUGUCCCGUAGUGACAUAAGGUCAGCAAAUAGCCAACAUGCUGAAUGGGAACUGUGGUUUUGUUUUCAUUAGCACAUUAUUUUAGCCUACUUUGUACUUAAUGCUGCUAAUGAAAAUGUAUUGGUGUAAAAGUAUACUGUACAUUUCAUUUAAAAAAUGCAGUAAAGUAAAAGUAAAAAUAAAAAAACUCAAAUAAAGUACAGAUGAUCCCCAUUCAGUUACUUUAGAUUUCUGAGAGUAGGUUUUGAAGAGCAAAGAAAUAGGGUGUAGGGAAUGUUCCUCAAAGUAAGUACUUCCACAAAGUAACCUCCACUUUCCAGCGGUCAGUUAUUCCCACAGUACAUUUGGUUUCAUAUGUACAGAUGGUCAAUAAGUGCAACUAAGCGCCCUCUGGCAGUCCAGAGGUGAACUGCAGUCGUUUGGUCAUCAAGCAAGGACUGUGCUGGGAUUAAGUGAGCGACCCCAAAACAGAACAAAUGGUCAAAGAAGCAGAACAAAAAGUUCAGGGCAAAAAGUGCA